rnacentral:sRNA from 1 species
CCUCCGAGGUCAGAACCCGGAUGAGGUAU